rnacentral:rRNA from 1 species
UACGAAGGGGGCUAGCGUUGCUCGGAAUCACUGGGCGUAAAGCGCACGUAGGCGGAUUGCUAAGUCAGGGGUGAAAUCCUGGAGCUCAACUCCAGAACUGCCUUUGAUACUGGCGAUCUCGAGUCCGGGAGAGGUGAGUGGAACUGCGAGUGUAGAGGUGAAAUUCGUAGAUAUUCGCAAGAACACCGGUGGCGAAGGCGGGUCUCUGGGCAGUAACUGACGCUGAGGAGCGAAAGCGUGGGGAGCGAACAGG